rnacentral:rRNA from 1 species
CCUACGGGAGGCAGCAGUGAGGAAUAUUGGUCAAUGGACGGAAGUCUGAACCAGCCAUGCCGCGUGCAGGAAGACGGCUCUAUGAGUUGUAAACUGCUUUUGUAUAAGGGUAAACCUGAAUACGUGUAUUCAGCUGAAAGUACUGUACGAAUAAGGAUCGGCUAACUCCGUGCCAGCAGCCGCGGUAAUACGGAGGAUCCAAGCGUUAUCCGGAUUUAUUGGGUUUAAAGGGUGCGUAGGCGGAUUGAUAAGUUAGAGGUGAAAUGUCCGAGCUUAACCCGGGAACUGCCUCUAAUACUGUUGGUCUAGAGAGUAGAUGCGGUAGGCGGAAUGUAUGGUGUAGCGGUGAAAUGCUUAGAGAUCAUACAGAACACCGAUUGCGAAGGCAGCUUACCAAUCUAUAUCUGACGUUGAGGCACGAAAGCGUGGGGAGCAAACAGGAUUAGAUACCCUAGUAGUC